UACGGGGGGGGGCAAACGUUGUUCGGAAUUACUGGGCGUAAAGGGCUCGUAGGCGGCCAACUAAGUCAGACGUGAAAUCCCUCGGCUUAACCGGGGAACUGCGUCUGAUACUGGAUGGCUUGAGUUUGGGAGAGGGACGCGGAAUUCCAGGUGUAGCGGUGAAAUGCGUAGAUAUCUGGAGGAACACCGGUGGCGAAGGCGGGUCUCUGGGCAACUACUGACGCUGAGGAGCGAAAGCGUGGGGAGCGAACAGG
rnacentral:rRNA from 1 species